rnacentral:lncRNA from 1 species
CCAGUUCUCGCAGCUGGUGCAAGUGCUCCUCCGUCAGCCUUGAGGACCAGCCACCAUGAACCGGGAGCCAGCUGGGCCUCAGCCCACGUGCCACACAGCUCCUAGCUCCAGAGUGUUCCUGCCUGCCCUGCAUCUUCGUGCCGCUCUCCACUCCUGACCAUCAGGGGCUGUCUGAGUCUUACAUUAGCUGAGAUGUUGCAGGUGGACCAAUCCUGCACUUCCUCCUCUUCGGUCAGUGACUCGGAGAAGAAGGAAACCGUCUCUGCUCCCACCCUGGACCGAGACCUGCUAUGGCCCCUGAGGCCUAGAACCACACAGUGCCGCGGGCACCUUGCUCUUGCCCUCCAGACCCCAUCUGAGAGCGUGCAGGGGGCUGAGGGCCUCGGGAGGAGGGGUCCUGUGGUCUCAUACCGGGCCUGCACAGUACGGUUCCCGGAUGCAGAUGAACUCCUGCCGUUGCCCAUCCUGUCUGUCUGUGUCUCCCAAGUUGCUCCCUUGCUUGAUGGCUUCUCGGGGCCCUCGGGGUGGCGCCCAAACUCCAGAGCCCAGCUCCCUGCCCUCUGUUGGCAGGCUCUGCUCUCUGCUACACUUGUGAUCCCUUACACAU